GCCAUCGUAGCUCAACGGAAGAGCGCUGCACAGGUAAGGCAGGUCACAUUGGCGAUAACGCACAAGGACUAACUACAUGGAUUAGCCACCAUGCAAAAGGAUUGUGUGGGUGCUGGUUCAAAUCCAGCCGAUGGCU
rnacentral:tRNA from 1 species